rnacentral:rRNA from 1 species
UACGAAGGGGACUAGCGUUGUUCGGAAUCACUGGGCGUAAAGCGCACGUAGGCGGAUUUGUAAGUCAGGGGUGAAAUCCCGGGGCUCAACCUCGGAACUGCCUUUGAUACUGUCGGUCUAGAGCAUGGAAGAGGUGAGUGGAAUUCCGAGUGUAGAGGUGAAAUUCGUAGAUAUUCGGAGGAACACCGAUGGCGAAGGCACUUUACUGGGCUAUUACUAACACUCAGAGACGAAAGCUAGGGUAGCAAAUGGG